UUUUUUCUUCCAUCGCUCAUUAGUGUGUCCGGCUGUCCCGUGCCCACCUGAAAGCGUCUGUCUUAAUGGCACCUGCCAGUGUAUAUCUGGCAGCUUCCUGCUAAAUGGCCGCUGUACACGUGCCCAAGUGUUCCCAGGCCAACUUCAUCUCACCUCCUUGACAUUUGUAAAUGAAAUGAGCAACAGGUCCUCCAAAAUAUUCCAGGAAACGGCGGCUAAUAUCUCAGCAUUGCUCAGACUUGCCCUUGAAAAUCUGCCAGGGUAUAAACAAUCUGAUGUUGUGCAACUUGAGCCAGGAAGUGUGCAAGCAACUGUAAAUAACAUCUUUCAAAACACCAACACCACUAAAGAGUCUAUUGAUCAGUCCAUUCAAAACGCUACAGCAAGUGGAUUGUUGGUUAAUGCCACAUUUACAAGUACAAACCUGUGUGAACAGAACCCUCCACCUUGUGAGGGCUCCACUACAACGUGCGUUAGUAUAAAAGGCCUGGCUACUUGUUCCUGUAAAGAGGGCUACUACUCCAACAUUUACUCAAACACUAGCUGCAAAGGUAAAAGUGACUAUUUAAUAUGUAUUUGUUUAUGUAUCUCCUUUACCAAGGCUAGGGUUGGGUUUAAAUAAGCAGACAAGAUCAUGUUCUUGUGUUUAUGUUGGGUCUUUCAUGUUUUAAACAUUUGUAAUCUUUACAAUGUGCCGCUGCCAAAGCACUAUAGAUCAUAAAGCAUCAUAUAUACACUC